rnacentral:rRNA from 1 species
AUUGAACGCUGGCGGCAUGCUUUACACAUGCAAGUCGAACGGUAACAGGCCUUCGGGUGCUGACGAGUGGCGAACGGGUGAGUAAUGCAUCGGAACGUGCCCAGAGGUGGGGGAUAACGCAGCGAAAGCUGUGCUAAUACCGCAUGUGAUCUGAGGAUGAAAGCGGGGGGCCAGGCAGCAAUGUUUGGCCUCGCGCCUUUGGAGCGGCCGAUGUCAGAUUAGGUAGUUGGUGGGGUAAAGGCCUACCAAGCCGACGAUCUGUAGCUGGUCUGAGAGGACGACCAGCGACACUGGGACUGAGACACGGCCCAGACUCCUACGGGAGGCAGCAGUGGGGAAUUUUGGACAAUGGGCGCAAGCCUGAUCCAGCAAUGCCGCGUGCGGGAAGAAGGCCUUCGGGUUGUAAACCGCUUUUGUACGGAACGAAAAGGCUCUGGCUAAUACCUGGGGCUGAUGACGGUACCGUAAGAAUAAGCACCGGCUAACUACGUG